GCAACCUACCUUAAACUGGGGGAUAGCCCGGGGAAACCCGGAUUAAUACCGCAUAAGAUCACACGAGGGCAUCCGAGAGUGAUUAAAGAUUUAUUGGUUUAAGAUGGGCAUGCGUGCCAUUAGCUAGUUGGUAGGGUAACGGCCUACCAAGGCUACGAUGGCUAGGGGUUCUGAGAGGAUGAUCC
rnacentral:rRNA from 1 species